rnacentral:rRNA from 1 species
ACCCGGGUUGCGGACAGUGUCUGGUGGGUAGUUUGACUGGGGCGGUCUCCUCCUAAAGAGUAACGGAGGAGCACGAAGGUUGGCUAAUCCUGGUCGGACAUCAGGAGGUUAGUGCAAUGGCAUAAGCCAGCUUGACUGCGAGCGUGACGGCGCGAGCAGGUGCGAAAGCAGGUCAUAGUGAUCCGGUGGUUCUGAAUGGAAGGGCCAUCGCUCAACGGAUAAAAGGUACUCCGGGGAUAACAGGCUGAUACCGCCCAAGAGUUCAUAUCGACGGCGGUGUUUGGCACCUCGAUGUCGGCUCAUCACAUCCUGGGGCUGAAGUAGGUCCCAAGGGUAUGGCUGUUCGCCAUUUAAAGUGGUACGCGAGCUGGGUUUAGAACGUCGUGAGACAGUUCGGUCCCUAUCUGCCGUGGGCGCUGGAGAACUGAGGGGGGCUGCUCCUAGUACGAGAGGACCGGAGUGGACGCAUCACUGGUGUUCGGGUUGUCAUGCCAAUGGCACUGCCCGGUAGCUAAAUGCGGAAGAGAUA